rnacentral:rRNA from 1 species
GACGAACGCUGGCGGCGUGCUUAACACAUGCAAGUCGAACGGAAAGGCCCUGCUUUUGUGGGGUGCUCGAGUGGCGAACAGGUGAGUAACACGUGAGUAACCUGCCCUUGACUUUGGGAUAACUUCAGGAAACUGGGGCUAAUACCGGAUAGGAGCUCCUGCUGCAUGGUGGGGGUUGGAAAGUUUCGGCGGUUGGGGAUGGACUCGCGGCUUAUCAGCUUGUUGGUGGGGUAGUGGCUUACCAAGGCUUUGACGGGUAGCCGGCCUGAGAGGGUGACCGGCCACAUUGGGACUGAGAUACGGCCCAGACUCCUACGGGAGGCAGCAGUGGGGAAUAUUGCACAAUGGGCGGAAGCCUGAUGCAGCAACGCCGCGUGCGGGAUGACGGCCUUCGGGUUGUAAACCGCUUUCGCCUGUGACGAAGCGUGAGUGACGGUAAUGGGUAAAGAAGCACCGGCUAACUACGUGCCAGCAGCCGCGGUGAUACGUAGGGUGCGAGCGUUGUCCGGAUUUAUUGGGCGUAAAGGGCUCGUAGGUGGUUGAUCGCGUCGGAAGUGUAAUCUUGGGGCUUAACCCUGAGCGUGCUUUCGAUACGGGUUGACUUGAGGAAGGUAGGGGAGAAUGGAAUUCCUGGUGGAGCGGUGGAAUGCGCAGAUAUCAGGAGGAACACCAGUGGCGAAGGCGGUUCUCUGGGCCUUUCCUGACGCUGAGGAGCGAAAGCGUGGGGAGCGAACAGGCUUAGAUACCCUGGUAGUCCACGCUGUAAACGGUGGGUACUAGGUGUGGGGUCCAUUCCACGGGUUCCGUGCCGUAGCUAACGCUUUAAGUACCCCGCCUGGGGAGUACGGCCGCAAGGCUAAAACUCAAAGGAAUUGACGGGGCCCCGCACAAGCGGCGGAGCAUGCGGAUUAAUUCGAUGCAACGCGUAGAACCUUACUUGGGUUUGACAUGGAUUGGGAGUGCUCAGAGAUGGGUGUGCCUCUUUUGGGGUCGGUUCACAGGUGGUGCAUGGCUGUCGUCAGCUCGUGUCGUGAGAUGUUGGGUUAAGUCCCGCAACGAGCGCAACCCUUGUUCACUGUUGCCAGCACGUUAUGGUGGGGACUCAGUGGAGACCGCCGGGGUCAACUCGGAGGAAGGUGGGGAUGACGUCAAGUCAUCAUGCCCCUUAUGUCCGGGGCUUCACGCAUGCUACAAUGGCUGGUACAGAGAGUGGCGAGCCUGUGAGGGUGAGCGAAUCUCGGAAAGCCGGUCUCAGUUCGGAUUGGGGUCUGCAACUCGACCUCAUGAAGUCGGAGUCGCUAGUAAUCGCAGAUCAGCAACGCUGCGGUGAAUAAGUUCCCGGG